rnacentral:rRNA from 1 species
UACGGGGGGAGCAAGCGUUGUUCGGAUUUACUGGGCGUAAAGGGCGCGUAGGCGGCCAGCACAAGUCAGUUGUGAAAUCUCCGGACUUAACGUCGGAAAGGUCAACUGAUACUGUGCGGCUAGAGUGCAGGAAGGGGCAACUGGAAUUCUCGGUGUAGCGGUGAAAUGCGUAGAUAUCGAGAGGAACACCUGCGGCGAAGGCGGGUUGCUGGGCUGACACUGACGCUGAUGCGCGAAAGCCAGGGGAGGCGAACGG